CGGGCCUAUCGAAGGUGGGGGAACCUGGGGAACUCAGGCUAAUACCGCAUACGUCCUACGGGAGAAAGCAGGGGAACUUCGGACCUUGCGCUAUCGGAUGAGCCCAUGUCGGAUUAGCUUGUUGGUGAGGUAAUGGCUCACCAAGGCGACGAUCCGUAGCUGGUCUGAGAGGAUGAUCAGCCACACUGGGACUGAGACACGGCCCAGACUCCUACGGGAGGCAGCAGUGGGGAAUAUUGGACAAUGGGCGAAAGCCUGAUCCAGCCAUGCCGCGUGUGUGAAGAAGGCCUUUGGGUUGUAAAGCACUUUCAGCGAGGAAGAACGCCUUGGGAUUAAUACUCCCGAGGAAAGACAUCACUCGCAGAAGAAGCACCGGCUAACUCCGUGCCAGCAGCCGCGGUAAUACGGAGGGUGCAAGCGUUAAUCGGAAUUACUGGGCGUAAAGCGCGCGUAGGUGGCUAAGUCAGCCAGGUGUGAAAGCCCCGGGCUCAACCUGGGAACGGCAUCUGGAACUGCUUGGCUAGAGUGCAGGAGAGGAAGGUAGAAUUCCCGGUGUAGCGGUGAAAUGCGUAGAGAUCGGGAGGAAUACCAGUGGCGAAGGCGGCCUUCUGGACUGACACUGACACUGAGGUGCGAAAGCGUGGGUAGCAAACAGGAUUAGAUACCCUGGUAGUCCACGCCGUAAACGAUGUCAACUAGCCGUUGGGUCCCUUGAGGACUUAGUGGCGCAGCUAACGCAAUAAGUUGACCGCCUGGGGAGUACGGCCGCAAGGUUAAAACUCCAAAUGAAUUUGACGGGGGCCCCGCCACAAGGCGGGUGGAGCAUGGUGGUUUAAUUUCGAUGCAACGCGAAGGAACCCUUACCUACCCUUUGACAUCCAGAGGACUUUCCAGAAGAUGGGAUUGGUUGCCUUCGGGAACUUCUGAAACAGGUGCCUGCAAUGGCCUUGUCGUCAGCUCGUGGUUGUGGGAAAAUGGUUGGGUUUAAGUUCCCGUAACGGAGCGCCAACCCCCUUAUUCCCUUAUUGGCCCAGCCGAGGUAAUGUCCGGGAACUUCUAAAGGAACUGGCCGGGUGACCAAUCGGAGGAAGGGUGGGGAAUAGGACUUCAAGUCCAUCUAUGGCCUUUACCGCCCUGUGCUCACACUGGUCUUCAACUGUUCGUCAAAGGUUGCAGACCCUUAAGGGUGA
rnacentral:rRNA from 1 species